GUAAUGAGGUGCAAUGUUUGCACUUAACCAUGUAACAUUAAGCCCAGCACCUGUAUAGACGCCGACUGAACAGAGGUAGCAUGCAAAGUAAAGAACAGAUUUAUUAUUUUGGCAAGCCAACAACAGAAUGUAUCCAACUAUUGGAAAGAUGUUGCCAAUAAUUAAGAUUAUGCCACGGUGAUGGAAACGAUCAGAGAGAAAUGAUGCGGCAAUAUAAGUUGCAGCUCCUAAAAUGUAAACAGGAAUAGUCAUAUACUGUACAGAA